rnacentral:snRNA from 1 species
GUGCGCGCUUCAGCAGAACAUAUACUAAAACUGGAACGACACAGAAAAGAUUAGCAUGGCCCCUGCACAAGGAUGACAUGCAAAUUCAUGAAGCAAUCCAUAUUUUU